rnacentral:lncRNA from 1 species
AGGGAGGGAUGCUGGCAAAGUGUCUCCAGAGCACGCCAGCAGUAGCGCUGCCUGCUGCUCCGCAUCAUCAGGUGGGGGCUGAGGGGCUACAGUCUGACCAGCAGAAGGUGUCACACACGUUGGAGGGCACUCAAUCAAAUUGUUGUAAGCAACGACACUGUUCUUCAGAUAAGGCUGAGGAUUAACAUUGCUCCCAAAGGCGUAUUUGAAGUGGCCAUCUCUCAGCCGAUAGGCUUUUCGUCUGGAUAUUACAGAUGUCAGAAUGUCCUUAAGAUGGUUCUCCACAGCAUAAACCACGGCUGUCACCGCAUCCUCUGUGACGUUGUCCAGCC